rnacentral:lncRNA from 1 species
GGAAAACUGGCAGCUUAGUAGCUUGUGAAAGUCAAUGCGUAAUUAUAUUGUGAAAGUUUCUGAAAUGAUGUCUGAUUAAGCUGUUGAAGAUAUACAUCUUCAUUCAUCCCUUUUCCCCUGCUCUUCUGGUCUGUCACUGGUAAACUGUUUCUCUUUGAAGGAGCUUCUUCACAUCAAUACUUAGUUUGUGUGCCUGUUGCCAACCAUGCGCUGGGUUUCUCUGAAACAGCACUAAGGAGAGUGGGAAAGACAGAAGAUAAUGAAACAAAUAGUUCAGUAACGAAGAGAAGAAAGUUAGAAGAAGUAAGAACCUCAGGCUGGCUGAAUGAAAUUUUCCCUAAAAGAUUACUCCAGUGCUAAUGACAGCAACAAUAAGGGAACCAGCAAUUCAAUACCGGAGGAUGCUGCUGAGGGAACAUUGACAUAAGGGCAGGUAAUUAGUGCUGCUAUUUCUGUUAAAAUUAGGGGGAAAAAAGAAACGUAGUCACUAGAGCAA